rnacentral:rRNA from 1 species
AGCAGCCGCGGUAAUUCCAGCUCCAAUAGCGUAUAUUAAAGUUGUUGCAGUUAAAAAGCUCGUAGUUGAAUUUUGGGUUUGGCCGAUUGGUCCGUUCUUGUAACGAGUACUGGUCGGUUGGGCCUCACCGCCUGGUGAUGCGUAAUGUCCUUUAUUGGGUGUUGCGAGUAGUCAGGACCUUUACCUUGAAAAAAUUAGAGUGUUUAAAGCAGGCUUAUGCCGGAAUACAUUAGCAUGGAAUAAUAGAAUAGGACGAUGAUUCUAUUUUGUUGGUUUCUAGGAGCAUCGUAAUGAUUAAUAGGGAUAGUUGGGGGCAUUAGUAUUCAAUUGUCAGAGGUGAAAUUCUUGGAUUUAUUGAAGACUAACUACUGCGAAAGCAUUUGCCAAGGAUGUUUUCAUUAAUCAAGAACGAAAGUUAGGGGAUCGAAGACGA